UGCAAUGUAGAACAAGAGGUAGUUUGUGAUGCUCAUAACUUCAAGGUUGAUGGUUCGAAUCCAUCCAUUGCAC